rnacentral:rRNA from 1 species
UACGGAGGAUCCGAGCGUUAUCCGGAUUUAUUGGGUUUAAAGGGUGCGCAGGCGGGGGAUUAAGUCGGCGGUGAAAUUUUGCAGCUCAACUGUAAAAGUGCCUUCGAAACUGGUUUCCUUGAGUGUAGAUGAAGUAGGCGGAAUUUGUGGUGUAGCGGUGAAAUGCUUAGAUAUAACGAGGAACUCCGAUUGCGCAGGCAGCUUACUAAACUACUACUGACGCUCAGGCACGAAGGCGUGGGGAUCAAACAGGAUUAGAUACCCUGGUAGUCCCUGA